AGGACAAACGCUGGCGGCGUGCUCAACACAUGCAAGUCGAACGGUCUCACUUCGGUGAGAUAGUGGCGGACGGGUGAGUAACACGUAGUUAACCUACCGUUUAGUGGGGAAUAACCCCUCGAAAGAGGAGCUAAUACCGCAUACGCUCUUUGGUGAUAGCCGAAGAGGAAACCGUUCUCGUAAGGGAAGGGGCUAAAUGAUGGGACUGCGGCGGAUUAGCUAGAUGGUGGGUAACGCCUACCAUGGCGACGAUCCGUAGCUGGUCUGAGGGGACGACCAGCCACACUGGGACUGAGACACGGCCCAGACUCCUACGGGAGGCAGCAGUGAGAUAUCACAUGGCAAAGCCUGAUGGAGCGACGCCGCGUGAGGGAAGAAGCCUUUCGGGGUGUAAACCGUCUUUUCUUGGGAUGAUACGUCGGAGCCGCAAGGUGACCGUGACUAGGACAGUACCAGAGGAAUAAGCAGUCGGACCAACGUACGUGACCAGCGAGCCGAC
rnacentral:rRNA from 1 species